GACGCCUCACUCCCUUCCUCAUCCACCUCUCGAGUUCAUUACAGAGCCCCUGCUUCCUCCUCUGCUUCCUCCUCUGCUUCCUCUUCUGACCGUGCUCCCUUACUGGUAUGAGAGAGCCACGUCUGUUAUCAUUGAUCCAGGUCUAUCUAGCUUUCAGGUACAAUUUGAUCAGCCUUUGACAAAUAAUCCGGAGAACAGUCAAGUGCCCAGAAGCCAAUUG